AUUCAACAUAAAAUAUACGUCAGUUGAUCUGUUCCAAGAACAACCCACAAAAUUCUGCCUAACACUUACUGCAAAAAAAGAGUGUGCAUUCAUUCUGAAAGAUAAGUCUAUUACUAUUAUAAUAGGAGUUAUCAAAAAGCAAAAAAAAAAAAAAAUUCUCCCAGUCUUCAGUAUACACACCUAAAAAGAGAUAGAAAAAGGAAUACAAAUUUUUGUAGCCAUUUUGAAAGACGUCUCCCUGUACUUUUGAAGAAUUUGCAACAGGCACACGAGCUUAUUUAUAUGCCCAUAGGUGCCGGGCAUGGAGGUAGAUGACCAACACAGGCCACAGGGAACAGUGGGGACUGUGAGUACUUCAAGCUCCAGCCCCUUCUAAUGUGGGCAGGGGCCUCUCCACUCCAGCCCAGUGUCCUCAUGCUGGUCACCAUGUGGGUCAACAGAUCUUCUAGUUCGUCAAGCGAUUCAGAAAUCUACAUUUCUUUUUUUAAAUUAAUUAAUUUAUUUAUCAUUUAAAUUCACUUAGCCAAAGUAAGUACAUCAUUAGUUUUUGAUAUAAUGUUUAAUGAUUCACUAGUUGAGUAUAUCCCCCAGUGCUUAUCAUACCACAUGGCCCCUUUAAUGGUCAUCACCUAGUUACCCCAACCCCAGACCCCUCCCUUUCUGCAGAAAUCUCCCUUUUCUCCCUUUCUACAGAAAUCUCCAUUUCAGUGUCAAUUUACAAGUUAAAUAAAACACACAUACACACGUGGUGCCUGGAUUCAAGGUGGGGACUGUCAUUUUAUGACCUCAAAUUAGAGAUACGAACUGUCUUUUAUUCUUCAUUCUUGUGCUUUUCUUCUGGAUCUAUAAAAGAGCAUUAUUCUAACACUAAGCAGUCAUCAUGCUGGGUGGCAGAGUAGGGGCGGUGUGUCUUAUUUUGUUUUGGCUCAAUAUGAGCCAAAAAGAAAAACUGGAUCUUUCUGAGCUAAAUCGUAAAAGAAGAAGAAAGAAAUAUAAUUCAUUUAUGCAGAGUUUAAAUGUCACUUAUCCGUUCAUUCAGUAAAUACUAGAGCAUCAACUAUGCGCCAGGUACUGGAAAUCCAUUGGUGACCAAAGCCAAUGGUACCUUCACAGUGCUCGCAAGCAUGCAAUUAUUCAGUAAGACUUUAACUGCCAUUACAAUUGCCACUGAAAAGUAAAGGGUGCUGUAGGAGUAUCUAACGGCUCUGGUAUGCCAGUUGAAAAAGGCUUCCCUAAGGAGCAGACUUUCAACCUGACAUUUAGAGGCUGAGGAGCCCUUGACCAGAGUAAAGACCUGGUGGAAGCAGGGAACUUCUAGCCCAGAGGACUUCACGUGCAAAGGCCCUGGGGUAGAGAGAGCAGGGUACAUGUAGGACUGUAGGAAGGUUCACAAGAUUGGAUCACAUAAGAAAAGGACAGAAUGGUAGAGGAGAGGUUUGGAAAAUCCUGUUGGGCCUUAAGGACAUAUGAAAGUAUUUGGUCUUUAUUAAAGUUUACAUGCAGUAUAGUAACUGCAUGAUGAAGAGUUUUUUGGUUUUUGGUUUUUUUAAAAAGGAGUGUGGCUCGAGCGUGAACUUCCAAAGUAAAAGACAGGAAGUCAUAGGAGAUAUGGGAUGGGUAAAAUAAUUUCUUGAUGACGACAUUGGUAUAGAAUAGUUACCAGAAAAAAAAAAAAAAAAAGGAAAAGAAAAGGAAAAACAGAAUAGUUACCAUCCUGAAGAAUGUGCUUAAAGAGAGAGAGGGAGAAUAGAGUCAUCAUCUAGGAGAAAGGAAGGAAGCGUGUGCGUUUCCACGCACGUAUGCGGUGCGGAUAUCCAGUUAAGUAUUUGCAGCGUGAUUGUGAGUAUGACAUAGUUAAUGAUUAGGACCCAAAUUAGGUUUGGAGAGGAAAAUUAAAAUAAUUUAAAAAUAAUAAAAUAAUACAACACAGCAAAUUCACUGGCUGUGUUUUUAUCUCAUGUAGACACACAAAACUAAUUUAUAUCAUUAUAAAUUACGUGUAAGAGUGUCUACUUUAUCAAGCCUAUUUUGUUUAAAAAAAAAAAAAAAAAGAACUUUGUAUCUCACACCAAGGAACCGAUUCCGUUGAACUGCAUGGGGGUUAAUACUGAUAUUCAUGGCUAAAAAGAUUAACCUAAAUCAAUACAUAGCUAGCCUUGAAUAUAGAAUUGAGAACGAAAGCACUGCCUAUAGUUUCGAGCCUGAAUUUCUCAGUGAUGUGAACAGAACCAUGCAUUUAGUCAUUAUGAAGAAGGGGGGGGGGUGCUGGAUAGAGAGAGAUGAGAGAAGAGGGAAUAGAGGCAUCUUAGGAAUAUAGUUAAUUGGGUAAUUGGGGAGUGGGUGUCACUUGAACUUAAGCCUGUGGUUAAUUCAUGGCUUAUUCUUCAGGAAUGACAUGGGCAGAGCAUUUAUUGAAAUAAUGAAUUGCUCACUUGUCCUGGGCAAAUAGAUAAUUCUCCUGGUUGAAUAAAAUUGUGGGAGGAGGCAUGUGAUAGUCUGCGUGAAAAUGGUUCCCCGUAAGUCAGAAGGGACAACUUUGAGGGGUCGAGGUAUUUUCAGCAAAGGGGGAAAGUUUCUAAAAUGAUUCUAAUGAACUAGUCCGUCUAUAAAGGUAAUUAACUUGCUACUGAAAGCAUUUUUAAAACCAGUGUCCCAAAAAAGCCUAGUGGCGCAAUUUAAACGCAGAGAAGGGGCUGCAAUGAUGAUAAGAAAUUUGAAAAGCUUCAGAGAGGACGUCGUUGCUAUAAGGGCCGAGUUAGGGAAUCCAUUAUUUGUGCUUUAAAAAUAAGGAGAGGGGAAAAUGGUUGCAUAAACUUUCAGUGAUAUUUUUAAUUUAAAAGUUUAGGAGACCCUCAGGAGAGAGUUUUGUUGCCAAAAUCUUCUUUCCAAAUUCAGAUUUUUGGGAUAGCUCACAGAAGGCCAACUUCUGUGUUUUUUCAAUGGCAAACAUCAGGGCCUUGGAGCAAUCACUG